rnacentral:tRNA from 1 species
CGGGGAGUAGCUCAGCUUGGCUAGAGCGCUGCGUUCGGGACGCAGANNAGGUCGCAAGUUCAAAUCUUGUCUCCCCGA